CGGAUUUGGAAGACAACAAUUUUUCGAUUAGCAGCCGCCUCAAAGCAGUGCAUCAUCUCCGCAGAUUGAGAAGCGGUUCCAUGUUAAAACCACCCAGCUGUUAUUGUCUCAGGACUCCGGGUCCGGGUCGACCGGAUGAAACAGGUUGCCAUGUACGAACUGAAUGCUGUUCUUAGGCAGCAGCACCGGUCACAUAUGCCCGGUUUCUGUUCAUUGGUAUCCGCGGAGACAGCGAGGAAGAAGCAUUUAACGAUGAGUCUUCACAUGUAAAAUUGAAGCAAUUUCUCCGGUACUGGAGUUCUGCCUCGCAACUGGUGUACCGGAGGCUAGAAUCUAAGCUCGUUUUAGAAAUUGGUGCAGUAUCGGAUUGCUUUUCAGCUGUCCUAAUUGAUCAUCUCCAACCAAGAUGACAGCUUCGGAAAGUGUUUCGCGUUGGCACUCCGGAUCACAAGGCUGUCGUCUCCGGAUUAACAAGAAGUCGAUGAAAAAAAUCGUGUUUGUAGGCUACAAGGAUUGU